CAAACUAUAACUCAACAAGCUAAGGGUUUUCUUUCUGCUCCGAAUAAUUCCUCGACAGCAGCUCGCACCUCCUUCUCUUCAUCUCGCGCUCGACGGCGUGGGCCGUUGAUUAGAAGGUGCUGGCGACGAGGACAUCACUUUUGAGCUUUCACGAUUCUUCCGCAUCGACGAAUGGAAGCUCUCUUCAGAGAUGACGGGGCGAGGUGUUGAUUAGAAGGCGCUGGCGAUGAGGACAUCGCUUCCGAGGUUUCACUCCGCGUCGACAUGCGGAAGCUCUCUCCAAGUAACGAGCCAGGUGCAUGGAGAGCCGUAGGUUGAUGGAGUUACUCUAGCAGUUAUUUAUCUAUAUUGUUAGUAGUUUAUGUCAAAACUCCACAGUAGAUGUGUUUAUGAAUAUUUGAGUUAUUAUUCUAGUUUUGUAAAGGCAAUGUGCCUAAAUAUCAUUUUAUUUGAUUUCCUAUGUCGAGACACUUGUAUCCA